UGACAUGUGGCUUAGUUGGUUAAGGCGCCGGACUAGCGAUACGGAGUCGCGGCAUCGAAUCCCACCAAAACAA
rnacentral:tRNA from 1 species